rnacentral:rRNA from 1 species
UACGAAGGGGGCUAGCGUUGUUCGGAAUUACUGGGCGUAAAGCGUGCGCAGGCGGCUUCUCAAGUCAGGGGUGAAAGCCCAGAGCUCAACUCUGGAAUUGCCUUUGAGACUGAGUGGCUUGAGUACGGGAGAGGUGAGUGGAAUUCCCAGUGUAGAGGUGAAAUUCGUAGAUAUUGGGAAGAACACCGGUGGCGAAGGCGGCUCACUGGCCCGUAACUGACGCUCAUGCACGACAGCGUGGGGAGCAAACAGG